AACCUCCGCAAUGUGAGAAAUCGCGACGGGGGGAUCCCGAGUGCCAUUCUUAACGGGAUGGCUUUUCUUAAGUGUAAAAAGCUUUUGGAAUAAGAGCUGGGCAAGACCGGUGCCAGCCGCCGCGGUAACACCGGCAGCUCUAGUGGUAGCUGUUUUUAUUGGGCCUAAAGCGUUCGUAGCCGGUUUGAUAAGUCACUGGUGAAAUCCUGUAGCUUAACUGUGGGAAUUGCUGGUGAUACUGUUGAACUUGAGGUCGGGAGAGGUUAGCGGUACUCCCAGGGUAGAGGUGAAAUUCUGUAAUCCUGGGAGGACCACCUGUGGCGAAGGCGGCUAACUGGAACGAACCUGACGGUGAGGGACGAAAGCUAGGGGCGCGAACCGGAUUAGAUACCCGGGUAGUCCUAGCCGUAAACGAUGCGGACUUGGUGUUGGGAUGGCUUUGAGCCGCUCCGGUGCCGAAGGGAAGCUGUUAAGUCCGCCGCCUGGGAAGUACGGUCGCAAGACUGAAACUUAAAGGAAUU
rnacentral:rRNA from 1 species